GAUGAACGCUGGCGGCAUGCUUUACACAUGCAAGUCGAACGGUAACAGGCCGCAAGGUGCUGACGAGUGGCGAACGGGUGAGUAAUGCAUCGGAACGUGCCCAGUCGUGGGGGAUAACGCAGCGAAAGCUGUGCUAAUACCGCAUACGAUCUAUGGAUGAAAGCGGGGGACCGUAAGGCCUCGCGCGAUUGGAGCGGCCGAUGUCAGAUUAGGUAGUUGGUGGGGUAAAGGCUCACCAAGCCAACGAUCUGUAGCUGGUCUGAGAGGACGACCAGCCACACUGGGACUGAGACACGGCCCAGACUCCUACGGGAGGCAGCAGUGGGGAAUUUUGGACAAUGGGCGCAAGCCUGAUCCAGCAAUGCCGCGUGCAGGAAGAAGGCCUUCGGGUUGUAAACUGCUUUUGUACGGAACGAAAAGGUCUGGGUUAAUACCCUGGGCUGAUGACGGUACCGUAAGAAUAAGCACCGGCUAACUACGUGCCAGCCGCCGCGGUAACAC
rnacentral:rRNA from 1 species